UACGGAGGGAGCUAGCGUUGUUCGGAAUUACUGGGCGUAAAGCGCACGUAGGCGGCUUUGUAAGUUAAAGGUGAAAGCCUGGGGCUCAACCCCAGAAUUGCCUUUAAGACUGCAUCGCUUGAAUCCAGGAGAGGUGAGUGGAAUUCCGAGUGUAGAGGUGAAAUUCGUAGAUAUUCGGAAGAACACCAGUGGCGAAGGCGGCUCACUGGACUGGUAUUGACGCUGAGGUGCGAAAGCGUGGGGAGCAAACAGG
rnacentral:rRNA from 1 species